CCUACGGGAGGCAGCAGUGAGGAAUAUUGGUCAAUGGCCGGAAGGCUGAACCAGCUAUUCCGCGUGAAGGUCAGUGCCCCAUGGGCGGUAAACUUCUUUUGUGCGGGAGCAAUAAUGGUCACGUGUGGCCAGACGAGAGUACCGUACGAAUAAGCAUCGGCUAACUCCGUGCCAGCAGCCGCGGUAAUACGGGGGAUGCAAGCGUUAUCCGGAUUUAUUGGGUUUAAAGGGUGCGCAGGCGGGAGAUCAAGUCAGCGGUAAAAUGUCGGGGCUCAACCCCGGCCGGCCGUUGAGACUGGUUGUCUAGAGUUGGAGAGAAGUAUGCGGAAUUCGUGGUGUAGCAGUGAAAUGCAUAGAUAUCACGAAGAACUCCGAUUGCGAAGGCAGCAUACCGGCUCCAUACUGACGCUGAGGCACGAAAGUGUGGGUAUCAAACAGGAUUAGAUACCCUUGUAGUC
rnacentral:rRNA from 1 species